AUUGAACGCUGGCGGCAGGCCUAACACAUGCAAGUCGAACGAGUGGCGGACGGGUGAGUAAUGUCUGGGAAACUGCCUGAUGGAGGGGGAUAACUACUGGAAACGGUAGCUAAUACCGCAUACCAUCGGAUGAGCCCAGAUGGGAUUAGCUAGUAGGUGGGGGAAAGGCUCACCAAGGCUACGCUCCAUAGCUGGUCUGAGAGGAGUACCAGCCACACUGGAACUGAUACACGGUCCAGACGCCUACGGGCGGCAGCAGUGGGGAAUAUUGCACAAUUGGCGCAAGCCUGAUGCAGCCAUGUCGCGUGUAUGAAGAAGGCCUUCGGGUUGUAAAGUACUUUCAGCGGGGAGGCGUUACCCGCAGAAGAAGCACCGGCUAACUCCGUGCCAGCAGCCGCGGUAAUUC
rnacentral:rRNA from 1 species